UCAAACACUAAUGCCUCAAUAUGGGAAGCCCUUAGCUGUUCUAGUCUGAGAUUGAAAGCUAAGCAAGGCUGGGCUUGGUUAAUACUUAGGUGGGAGACCUUGAAAAUCCAGAUCCUGUUGGAU
rnacentral:rRNA from 1 species